rnacentral:rRNA from 1 species
GUUAAAAAGCUCGUAGUUGGAUCUCAACAGCCUUGAAGCGGUUAACUUUGUAGUUUUACUGCUUUAUAGGCUGUGCUUUUGCUGGAGGUUUAGGGGUGCUCUUGAUCGAGUGUCUCUGGAUGCCAGCAGGUUUACUUUGAAAAAAUUAGAGUGCUCAAAGCAGGCUAAAAUGCCUGAAUAUUCGUGCAUGGAAUAAUAGAAUAGGAUGUCGAUCCUAUUUUGUUGGUCUUCGGGACUCGACAUAAUGAUAAAUAGGGACAGUCGGGGGCAUUUGUAUUCAAACGACAGAGGUGAAAUUCUUGGACCGUUUGAAGACAAACUACUGCGAAAGCAUUUGCCAAGAAUGUUUUCAUUAAUCAAGAACGAAAGUUAGAGGUUCGAAGGCGAUUAGAUACCGCCCUAGUUCUAACCAUAAACGAUGCCAGCUAGCGAUCUGCCUGCGUUUUUACUGUAGACUGGGCAGGAAGCUUCCGGGAAACCAAAGCAUUUGGGUUCCAGGGGAAGUAUGGUUGCAAAGCUGAAACUCAAAGGAAUUGACGGAAGGGCACCACCAGGAGUGGAGCCUGUGGCU